UAAUAGAAGUAUUUGGUUAUGGUACUUCCGAUUGGGUAUCUAGGUGUAUAACACAUGCGAGUCUUAUGGUUAAAUAGUUAAUCAUGGCGUACAGGUCAGUAUUUUCAAGAAAAGGAUCAAAGAGUUCAUAUAAAUAAUGAAUGAAGAAAAGGAAUAAAUUCCGCUCUUAGUUUUGCUUGAUUCUUAUUAGGUAGUUGGAGAGGUAAAGCUUAACAAGCCUAUGAUGGGAAAAAUUAGAUGGAAGUCUUAAAUUUGACAUUGGAAAUGAAAAAGUCCAAAGCAUCAUUACGAUGCGCAGCAGUGAAGAAUCUUGGUCAAUGCACAAAAGUGUGAACCAGUGACCUAGGUUCGAUUACCUACUAGUAACGGGUAGGUAUCGAUAAUAUUUUUAAAUUAUGAUUAAAAAUUAUAUAAGUCCUGUCCAAUAUCCGUGCCAGCAGAAGCGGCUAUACGGAAGGGGCAACCCAUGGGAGCAUAUAGACGGUGUAAAGGGUACGUAGCCGGUUCACAUUUAGUUGGACUAGAAUUUGAUGGAAGUAACAAAAAUACCUAGAGUAGAGAUGAUAUGUGUUUAUACUAGGGGGAAUGCAUGAAGCGAAGGCAUGUUACUAUGUAAAAUUGACAGUAAGGUACGAAAGUUAGGGUAUAGAAAGAGAUUCGAGACCUCAUUAUUCCUAACCGUAAACGAUGCAAAUUAAAGAUUUGUUUUUUUAGAUAAGUCUUGUAUUUAACGACUUAAUUUUGCCACCUGUAAAGUACGGCCGCAUGGCUAAAAUAUUAAUAACUAGACGGCUUUAAGGCAAACGGAGUGGAACAUGUUAUUUAAUUCGUAAACACGCGAAAAAUCUUACCACAUCUUGCAUUUUAAAUAUAAAAUUAUAUAUUUAUAUAUAAUAUACUGAAAGGGUAUUUAAUAACAGGUAUUGCAUGGUUGUCCUCAGUUAGUGCUGGUAAAGCGUAAGGUUAAUUCCAUAUAAUAAUGUGGUUAAAUACUAAACUAACGCGAUCCUCACUGUUAAUUAAAUCUUAACAGUAUUAUUUUGACUAAAAAAUAAUUUUAAAGGGGGCUAUGACAAAUCAUUAUGAUCCUUAGGGUGUGGGCUAUCGACGUGUUACAAGAAUAUUAACAGAGUGAUGCAAUAUUGAAAAAUGGAGCUAAACAUCAAAUAAUAUUAAUGUGCUAAUUGUAAGCUGGAACUCGCUUACAUGAAGCUGGAAUUUCGAGUAAUCGCGAAUCACUACGUCGCGGUGAAGUCAAAUCCUUAAAGUGUACUAACUGCUCAUCACGGGCUGAGAGAAUCGCUGGGGGGUUGCAAUGUUGACAUAUAUUACUAAAAUUUAAGCAUUGUGCAUCUCAAGAAUUUUUAGUAUUGAAAAUUAUGAAAUGUAAUAUAUACAAAUUCAACGUGCGAACCUUGGGAAUUUAUCGUCUCGAAGUUGAAACAGGGUAGUCCUAGGGGAACCUGGGGCUGACAAUUGCUAAGA